UACGAAGGGGGCUAGCGUUGUUCGGAUUUACUGGGCGUAAAGCGCACGUAGGCGGAUUGUUAAGUGAGAGGUGAAAUCCCAAGGCUCGACCUUGGAACUGCCUUUCAUACUGGCAACUUCAAGUUCGGAAGAGGUGAGUGGAAUUCCUAGUGUAGAGGUGAAAUUCGUAGAUAUUAGGAAGAACACCGGUGGCGAAGGCGGCCCACUGGUCCGAUACUGACGCUGAGGUGCGAAAGCGUGGGGAGUAAACAGG
rnacentral:rRNA from 1 species